AGAGUGAAGGAGCAAAGGGGACUCGGCCGCCAUGUUAGGAGUACUGGGACGAUUCCGCGGAGCCGGGCAGAGGUUUUAGGGGAAUGAUUAACAAAGGCGUCCGAAGAAAUCGUUGUUGGAAGGUGACCAAGGUGGAAAGAGACGUUGCUUUGGCCCUGCAAGUAAGAAGAGAGAGGGAAUAGCCUGAAGGAGUAACACUAAAUUUAAAAUGACACUUUUUUACCAACCAGCGAAAGCAGAUGUUCAAAGGGGAUAUUGGCCAGAGUCUGUCACACUAAGAUGAGAAAUGUCCUUUCUUCCUGAAGGUGUCUGAUGUGUAAAAAUAUGAUAUACUUUGUGCUGUUUCCUCCCUUCCCUUUUGCAUAUUAUUCUGAAACAACAUUAACUAGUUACUUUGCGUCAUUGAAGAACUCACUUUGAGGCCAAGCGUGGUUGCUCAGGCCUGUAAUCCCAGCACUUUGGGAGGCCGAGGCAGGUGGAUCACCUGAGGUCAGGAGUUGGAGACCAGCCUGGCCAACACGACAAACCCCGUCUCUACUAAAAAUACAAAAAUUAGCCUGGCAUGGUGGCACACACCUGUAAUUCCAGCUGCUCGGGAGGCUGAAGCAUGAGAAUCACUUGAACCUGGGAGGCAGAGGUUGCAGUGAGCCAAGGUUGCAGUGGAUCAAGAUCACACCACUGCACUCCAGCCUGGGCAAUAGAGUGAGACUCUGUCUCAAGAAGAAGAAAAAGAAAAAAAACUCACUUUAAACUCUGCUAGACCAUUGCCCUUGUAUGUGAAAUUUUAUCUGGAUAGAAGAAGAUGAGGAAAAAAAUUUUCUUGUCUUUUAGUGGAGGAGAAUGACAUGUAAAACAAGUAUUCUUUAAAAAUUCCAAAUAUGAUAUGAGAACUACCCCAUAAAGUUGUGAAGGUCACAUUGGUGAAAGGAAAACUAAGUGCUGUGUAAAUUACAAAGUUGUCUAAGUAUCCACCUGGUCCUUACCUUGCUAUAGAAUCUUUUUUUUUUUUAGACGGAGUCUAGCUCUGUCGCCCAGGCUGGAGUGCAGUGGCGCAAGCUCCGCUUACUGCAAGCUCCGCCUCCUGGGUUCAUGCCAUUCUCCUGCCUCAACCGCCCGAGUAGCUGGGAUUACAGGUGCCCACCACCACGCCCAGCUAAUUUUUUUUUUUUUUUUGUAUUUUUAGUAGAGACGGGGUUUUCCCAUGUUAGCCAGGAUGGUCUUGAUCUCCUGACCUCGUGAUCUGCCCACCUCGGCCUCCCAAGGUGCUGGGAUUACAGGUGUGAGCCACCACGCCCAGCCUACCUUGCUAUAGAAUCUUUAGGCCUAAUAUAGUCUAGCCAGAACAGCUAUUUGGAUGCUUGCCUAAUCUUCAAUACUGGUUUCCCUUUUAUACAUGACUGCAAAACUGACUCUCACCUAGGUUUGUGAUGUUAGAAACUCCAGUUGUUUACUAUUAUUAUUAAAGUGGGAAACGGAGUUCGUUGAUCAAAUGGAUUAAUGUUUUGAGUACUUACUAUACACCAG
rnacentral:lncRNA from 1 species